AGAGUUCGAUCCUGGCUCAGGAUGAACGCUGGCGGCGUGCUUAACACAUGCAAGUCGAGCGAAGCGGUUUCGAUGAAGUUUUCGGAUGGAUUUGAGAUUGACUUAGCGGCGGACGGGUGAGUAACGCGUGGGUAACCUGCCUUACACUGGGGGAUAACAGUUAGAAAUGACUGCUAAUACCGCAUAAGCGCACAGGGCCGCAUGGUCCGGUGUGAAAAACUCCGGUGGUGUAAGAUGGACCCGCGUCUGAUUAGGUAGUUGGUGGGGUAACGGCCCACCAAGCCGACGAUCAGUAGCCGACCUGAGAGGGUGACCGGCCACAUUGGGACUGAGACACGGCCCAAACUCCUACGGGAGGCAGCAGUGGGGAAUAUUGGACAAUGGGCGAAAGCCUGAUCCAGCGACGCCGCGUGAGUGAAGAAGUAUUUCGGUAUGUAAAGCUCUAUCAGCAGGGAAGAAAAUGACGGUACCUGACUAAGAAGCCCCGGCUAACUACGUGCCAGCAGCCGCGGUAAUACGUAGGGGGCAAGCGUUAUCCGGAUUUACUGGGUGUAAAGGGAGCGUAGACGGUUUAGCAAGUCUGAAGUGAAAGCCCGGGGCUCAACCCCGGUACUGCUUUGGAAACUGUUAGACUUGAGUGCAGGAGAGGUAAGUGGAAUUCCUAGUGUAGCGGUGAAAUGCGUAGAUAUUAGGAGGAACACCAGUGGCGAAGGCGGCUUACUGGACUGUAACUGACGUUGAGGCUCGAAAGCGUGGGGAGCAAACAGGAUUAGAUACCCUGGUAGUCCACGCC
rnacentral:rRNA from 1 species